rnacentral:lncRNA from 1 species
GUCAAUUAUUAAACUUUCAGGAGAUGGAAAAGAAGGCUCAUUUCACCUUGGGAGAGUCAAAGUAUGAGAUGGUUUCUCACACUGGAUAGGACAAAGAAAUGGAGAAGCCUAGUCCAAGAACAUACAAGAAAUCACAAAGAGGACUCGGUGCCAUGUGGCAACACCAUUGUGAAAAGAAUAACAACGUCUAUUAGUAGAGGCCAUGGAGAAAAGAUGUGGAAUUGAAUACCAUCAGCCACUGAGUGGAGCUAAAGAGGACCUGCAUAAAAAGCCAAGCAUGGCAGCAAGCCUGUGAUCCCAGGGUGAGGAAGGCAGAAGCAGGCAGAUCCUUCUAGCUUUCUGGCAAGCCAAGCUAUCCUAAUGGCCUUCAAUAACGCCUCUGUCCAGUCUCCUGAGGCUCUGAUGUGUACACUGAAGAAGUCCUCCUGGGGAGCGGAGGUGAGAGUGAAGGGGUGCCACUCCAGGGGGGAGACAGAUGGGCACUGGAUGAAGAUGUACUGUCCAGGUGCCAUCUUGAAGUCUCGCUUCUUCAUGUGAAGUUCCAGGACUGCAGAUGGGUGACUCACCACCUACAACAGAGCAAGAUAGCCAAGGGGAUUCUCACUCAGAGAGAAACCAUAAUAAAGAGAAAUAUGGCUAACUCCAGUUCUACGCUGUAAGCCUUUAUCAGAAUUCCGAAUAACAGCAUGGAGCUUUGAUCCCUGUCUCCAGUAAAAUUGGUCACACUGAAAGAUGCUCCCGAUACAAGCAAUUAUUAGACCAGAAGAUGAGCCUCUAAAUUACGGGCAGUUCUGCAAUAAAAAUGGCAAAUUAAAA